rnacentral:rRNA from 1 species
UACGGGGGGGCAAGCGUUGUUCGGAAUUACUGGGCGUAAAGGCUCGUAGGCGGCCAACUAAGUCAGACGUGAAAUCCCUCGGCUUAACCGGGGAACUGCGUCUGAUACUGGAUGGCUAGAGGUUGGGAGAGGGAUGCGGAAUUCCAGGUGUAGCGGUGAAAUGCGUAGAUAUCAGGAGGAACACCGGUGGUGUAGACGGCUUUCUGGACCGUAACUGACGCUGAGACACGAAAGCGUGGGUAGCAAACAGG